rnacentral:rRNA from 1 species
UACGAAGGGGGCUAGCGUUGCUCGGAAUUACUGGGCGUAAAGGGCGCGUAGGCGGAUAUUUAAGUUGGGGGUGAAAUCCCGGGGCUCAACCUCGGAAUUGCCUUCAAAACUGGAUAUCUUGAGUUCGGGAGAGGUGAGUGGAACUCCGAGUGUAGAGGUGAAAUUCGUAGAUAUUCGGAGGAACACCAGUGGCGAAGGCGACUCACUGGCCCGAUACUGACGCUGAGGCGCGAAAGCGUGGGGAGCAAACAGG